GACAGAGGCCUCGAGCGUUAGGCGGAAUCACUGGGCUUAAAGCGUGUGUAGGCGGGCCCGUAAGUGUCUUGUGAAAUCCCACGGCUCAACCGUGGAACUGCUGGGCAUACUGCAGGUCUUGGGCCAACUAGGGGCAGCCGGAACAAGCGGUGGAGCGGUGAAAUGCGUAGAUAUCGCUUGGAACGCCGAAGGUGAAAACAGGCUGCUGGGGUUGCGCCGACGCUGAGACACGAAAGCCAGGGGAGCAAACGGG
rnacentral:rRNA from 1 species